rnacentral:lncRNA from 1 species
GCGGGGGGAGGCUUGAGAGAUUAGUCUGUGUGAUUGUAAAAAUUUGUCGCAUAGUGGAUCUUUCUCUCUGGAGGCCCGUGGUUUUUCUCCGGUUUUGGAGUUUCCACGUAUAUUCUUGUGUUCAGUUAUAUUUCUCUAUUGUUAGCUUUGGGAGGGUUGUUGGGAUUCUUUGAGACCGCUUGUUUCCCAACAAGUGGUAUCAGAGCUCCAGGUUUUUGGGGGAGGUCUCGGUUUAGAAGGUUCGUAGUAUGCUCUGUUCGUAGUAUGCUCUGUGGUUGCAGCUUAGUCUGAUCUUCCACAUCAGAAACGAGGAUUUGGUUGAUUCGGUUGACUGUUUGUA